GGAUUAUUGGGCGUAAAGCGCGCGCAGGUGGUUUCUUAAGUCUGAUGUGAAAGCCCACGGCUCAACCGUGGAGGGUCAUUGGAAACUGGGGAACUUGAGUGCAGAAGAGGAAAGUGGAAUUCCAAGUGUAGCGGUGAAAUGCGUAGAUAUUUGGAGGAACACCAGUGGCGAAGGCGACUUUCUGGUCUGUAACUGACACUGAGGCGCGAAAGCGUGGGGAGCAAACAGGAUUAGAUACCCUGGUAGUCCACGCCGUAAACGAUGAGUGCUAAGUGUUAGGGGGUUUCCGCCCCUUAGUGCUGCAGCUAACGCAUUAAGCACUCCGCCUGGGGAGUACGGUCGCAAGACUGAAACUCAAA
rnacentral:rRNA from 1 species